UACGGAGGGUGCAAGCGUUAUCCGGAUUCACUGGGUUUAAAGGGUGCGUAGGUGGGCAGGUAAGUCAGUGGUGAAAUCUCCGGGCUUAACCCGGAAACUGCCAUUGAUACUAUCAGUCUUGAAUACCGUGGAGGUAAGCGGAAUAUGUCAUGUAGCGGUGAAAUGCUUAGAUAUGACAUAGAACACCAAUUGCGAAAGGCAGCUUACUACCCAAAAUAUUGACACUGAGGCACGAAAGCGUGGGGAUCAAACAGG
rnacentral:rRNA from 1 species